CCUACGGGUGGCUGCAGUGGGGAAUAUUGCACAAUGGGGGAAACUCUGAUGCAGCGACGCCGCGUGAGCGAUGAAGUAUUUCGGUAUGUAAAGCUCUAUCAGCAGGGAAGAAAAUUACGGUACCUGACUAAGAAGCCCCGGCCAACUACGUGCCAGCAGCCGCGGUAAUACGUAGGGGGCAAGCGUUAUCCGGAUUUACUGGGUGUAAAGGGAGCGGAGGCGGCGGUGCAAGCCAGAUGUGAAAGCCCGGGGCUCAACCCCGGGACUGCAUUUGGAACUGUGCUGCUAGAGUGUCGGAGAGGCAGGCGGAAUUCCCAGUGUAGCGGUGAAAUGCGUAGAUAUUAGGAGGAACACCAGAGGCGAAGGCGGCCUGCUGGACGAUGACUGACGUUGAGGCUCGAAAGCGUGGGGAGCAAACAGGAUUAGAUACCCCAGUAGUC
rnacentral:rRNA from 1 species